GCACUGCUCGCCCGGAUUGAGUGUGUUGAAGUUAGACUGGGAGCUUUGCAGUUCAAAGGCGGCGCUGAUUGACAGAUAGAGAGGGAAGGAGGGAGGGGGAAAGGGGAAGAGAGAAGGGAGAGUCUGGAUCCUGGAUUAUUGACAUGGAAGAAACACACUCACACCGAGAGGGAGAGAGAGACACAAAACUUUAAUGAGAUGCACUGGGGAGGGAUCUGCUGCUGACGUUGGCAUCAGGGGGGGCACUGCAAGAGAGGAACAAGAUAAAUAAGUUCUAUGUACAAGAAUUCUGGAGAAACGCAGAAUAAUGCGGAAACACAAGGUCAUGGAAGUUUGAAGACUCAGGGGAAAUGGAAGGAAGUAUUUCUUCACUCAGUAUGUAUGGUGAAUUCAAGGAACAGCUUCUAAGGCACAAUGAUAUUUCCUCACCUCUGCUUUCUGGAGAAGAAUGAGGAAAUCAUGUUAAGAACAAGGGAUUCUUUCUUGCUGUAUUUCCCACGCAGUAAGAGACAGGCCAAUAUAGAAAAUUCUUCAAAGAUUAGCGGUCGUGCAAUCCAUGUUCUUGCGUGCCAAUAUUUCCAUUGCUAUCCUGCCCAAAAUAAAUGUUGUGUAAAGAAUAUACCAAAUAUAAUGCUGCUGUUAAAUUGUGAUAACAUUGUAUAAAACAAGGUAUUAUCAAACAGAACAAUCCAUAUGUUUGUAACAGUAAAAAUAAAGUUAAAAUAAAAUUG